rnacentral:rRNA from 1 species
UACAGAUGGUUCACGCGUUAAUCGGAUUUACUGGGCGUAAAGCGCGCGUAGGUGGCCAAUUAAGUCAAAUGUGAAAUCCCCGAGCUUAACUUGGGAAUUGCAUUCGAUACUGGUUGGCUAGAGUAUGGGAGAGGAUGGUAGAAUUCCAGGUGUAGCGGUGAAAUGCGUAGAGAUCUGGAGGAAUACCGAUGGCGAAGGCAGCCAUCUGGCCUAAUACUGACACUGAGGUGCGAAAGCAUGGGGAGCAAACAGGAUUAGAAACCCCGGUAGUCC